UACACGAUUAGAAUCAACCCAUGUAUACUCCACUUUGCUUUACUUCCAGAAUUCUUAGAAUCAGCCUAUAAUCCAUUUGCACACCCUCAUUCCGGUCCUUGUAGUGUGCUGCAUCCUCCUCUUGUGUGCAUGUUUGCUCGAGUAAUGGUGGUGUGUUGAAUGUUAUGAAGCAAACGGCUCCUACAGCAUUUAUAUUCCCUUUACUGAGAACAAUUGUAAUGUUCUUUAUAAUUUUAUGUCUGAAGACCAGGUUGUAACUGUGAUAUUUCAGUGUGACCAAUUUUCUCGUAAAGCUAUGGUAAUUCCGUUAUUUUAGUAGAAUCAGCCAUGAUUAUAAUGCUUUACUAAAAGAUUAUUAACAACGUCCGUAUCCGUGACUUUGCCAGGCUGCCGCUGAUGCCAAUGAUCCUCAAAUGACCGAUUUUGUUGAAGGAGAGUUCCUCACAGAGCAGAUUACUUGCAACUACUUUCGAAAAGUUUCCAAUGUUGUUGAUUAUUCAGUUAUGUGAACAUGCAGGUGAUCUUCUGUUUCAAACACAGAGUAGUGGUAGGAGGAAUCAAUGAUAAUCAUGAAACGGUAAAAGCUGUUAUAGUUUUUAAUAGAAAUGUGAGAACUUUUGAUGUAUUGAAAGAUAUAGAAUUAAUAUUUGUAAUAAAAGAAUAUGAAGCUAUUUGGGAUCAAAAUUUUAUUUAAUUGUAAGUUUUAAGUAA